rnacentral:lncRNA from 1 species
CGAGUUCAAGGUGAAUUCCGAGUAUUGUCUGAUCGGGUAAAGUCCGAGAAACCCGAAAAAAAGUAAAUAAACAAGAUGGCUGAAAAUAAAUCGUUAUAUAUAUUUCUUUCGCCAAAUUCUUUCGCCAAUGACGAAUUUUAAUCGCCACAAUUAUUAUUUUUUCGCAAAUUGCGAAAAUGGCGACCGCCAGCGGAAACCCUG